AAGGUGGCCUGUGAGGGUUGCUGGAGGUAUCAGAAGUGCGAAUGCUGACAUAAGUAACGAUAAAGCGGGUGAAAAGCCCGCUCGCCGGAAGACCAAGGGUUCCUGUCCAACGUUAAUCGGGGCAGGGUGAGUCGACCCCUAAGGCGAGGCCGAAAGGCGUAGUCGAUGGGAAACGGGUUAAUAUUCCCGUACUUGGUGUUACUGCGAAGGGGGGACGGAGAAGGCUAUGUUGGCCGGGCGACGGUUGUCCCGGUUUAAGCGUGUAGGUGUGUGUUCCAGGUAAAUCCGGUUCACUUUAACACUGAGGCGUGACGACGAGGCACUACGGUGCUGAAGCAACAAAUGCCCUGCUUCCAGGAAAAGCCUCUAAGCAUCAGGUAACAUCAAAUCGUACCCCAAACCGACACAGGUGGUCAGGUAGAGAAUACCAAGGCGCUUGAGAGAACUCGGGUGAAGGAACUAGGCAAAAUGGUGCCGUAACUUCGGGAGAAGGCACGCUGACACGUAGGUGAAGUGAUUUACUCAUGGAGCUGAAGUCAGUCGAAGAUACCAGCUGGCUGCAACUGUUUAUUAAAAACACAGCACUGUGCAAACACGAAAGUGGACGUAUACGGUGUGACGCCUGCCCGGUGCCGGAAGGUUAAUUGAUGGGGUCAGCGCAAGCGAAGCUCCUGAUCGAAGCCCCGGUAAACGGCGGCCGUAACUAUAACGGUCCUAAGGUAGCGAAAUUCCUUGUCGGGUAAGUUCCGACCUGCACGAAUGGCGUAAUGAUGGCCAGGCUGUCUCCACCCGAGACUCAGUGAAAUUGAACUCGCUGUGAAGAUGCAGUGUACCCGCGGCAAGACGGAAAGACCCCGUGAACCUUUACUAUAGCUUGACACUGAACAUUGAGCCUUGAUGUGUAGGAUAGGUGGGAGGCUUUGAAGUGUGGACGCCAGUCUGCAUGGAGCCGACCUUGAAAUACCACCCUUUAAUGUUUGAUGUUCUAACGUGGACCCGUAAUCCGGGUUGCGGACAGUGUCUGGUGGGUAGUUUGACUGGGGCGGUCUCCUCCUAAAGAGUAACGGAGGAGCACGAAGGUUGGCUAAUCCUGGUCGGACAUCAGGAGGUUAGUGCAAUGGCAUAAGCCAGCUUGACUGCGAGCGUGACGGCGCGAGCAGGUGCGAAAGCAGGUCAUAGUGAUCCGGUGGUUCUGAAUGGAAGGGCCAUCGCUCAACGGAUAAAAGGUACUCCGGGGAUAACAGGCUGAUACCGCCCAAGAGUUCAUAUCGACGGCGGUGUUUGGCACCUCGAUGUCGGCUCAUCACAUCCUGGGGCUGAAGUAGGUCCCAAGGGUAUGGCUGUUCGCCAUUUAAAGUGGUACGCGAGCUGGGUUUAGAACGUCGUGAGACAGUUCGGUCCCUAUCUGCCGUGGGCGCUGGAGAACUGAGGGGGGCUGCUCCUAGUACGAGAGGACCGGAGUGGACGCAUCACUGGUGUUCGGGUUGUCAUGCCAAUGGCACUGCCCGGUAGCUAAAUGCGGAAGAGAUAAGUGCUGAAAGCAUCUAAGCACGAAACUUGCCCCGA
rnacentral:rRNA from 1 species